rnacentral:rRNA from 1 species
GAUGAACGCUGGCGGCGUGCCUAAUACAUGCAAGUCGAGCGAACGGACGAGACGCUUGCUUUUCUGAUGUUAGCGGCGGACGGGUGAGUCACACGUGGAUAACCUACCUAUAAGACUGGGAUAACUUCGGGAAACCGGCGCUAAUACCGGCUAAUCUUUUCAACCGCAUGGUUCAAAAGUGAAAGACGGUCUUGCUGUCACUUAUAGAUGGAUCCGCGCUGCAUUAGAUAGUUGGUAAGGUAACGGCUUACCAAGGCAACGAUGCAUAGCCGACCUGAGAGGGCGAUCGGCCACACUGGAGCUGAGACCCGGUCCAGCGUCGUACGGGAGGCAGCAGUAGGGAAUCUGCCGCAAUGGGCGAAAGCCUGACGGAGCAACGCCGCGUGAGUGAUGAAGGUCUUCGGAUCGGAAAACUCGGUUAUUAGGGAAGAACAUAUGUGUAAGUAACUGUGCACAGCUUGACGGUACCUAAUGAGAAAGCCACGGCUAACGACGAG